GUGGGGAAUCUUCCGCAAUGGACGAAAGUCUGACGGAGCAACGCCGCGUGAGUGAUGAAGGUCUUCGGAUUGUAAAGCUCUGUUAAUCGGGACGAAAGAGCCUAGUGUGAAUAAUGCUAGGAAGUGACGGUACCGGAAUAGAAAGCCACGACUAACUACGUGCCAGCAGCCGCGGUAAUACGUAGGUGGCAAGCGUUGUCCGGAAUUAUUGGGCGUAAAGCGCGCGCAGGCGGAUCUGCCAGUCUGUCUUAAAAGUUCGGGGCUUAACCCCGUGAUGGGAUGGAAACUACAGAUCUAGAGUAUCGGAGAGGAAAGUGGAAUUCCUAGUGUAGCGGUGAAAUGCGUAGAUAUUAGGAAGAACACCAGUGGCGAAGGCGACUUUCUGGACGAAAACUGACGCUGAGGCGCGAAAGCUAGGGGAGCGAACGGGAUUAGAUACCCCUGUAGUCC
rnacentral:rRNA from 1 species